GCUAAAACUCUGAAACCAAGAUGCCGGCAGGGCCACGUUCCCAUUGAACCCUGCAGGCAAGAUCUUUCCUUCCUCUCUCAGUUUCUGGCGGUGGCUGACAAUCUUCCGCGUUCUUGGCAUGUGCACGUAUCACAGCAGUCUCUGCCUCUGCCAGCACAUGGCUGUAUUCCCAAGCGUCUCUGUCUGCUCUUCUUAUAAAGACCCCAGUCACUGGGUUAGGGCCCACACAACUCCAGUGUGACCUCAUUUUAAUUUGACUGCGUGGAUAAAGACCCUAUUUCCAAAUAAGGUUGCAUUCACAGGUACCAGGGGUUAGGGCUUCAACAUGUUUUUGGGAGGACACGCCUUGACCAUAACAGCAUGUAUGUGCGUCCACAGAAGAUGCGAGAGAUGGCAGUAGCUGCCCCGGGGCUGUGGGGCUGAAGGGUCCGAGGCUGUAGCUUCUUGUUACUUUGUAGACAUCAGUCCACUGUGAAUCGCAAGUGUUCCUUUUGUAAUGAGAGUGGCGCAUCCUGGUAAAGGUCAGAGAGUGUCCCUAAUUCUCCCUCUCCAUCACAGGUGAUUUAGGCAGAACCAAACCUUCCCUUCUUCUUCUUUUUUUUUUUUUUUUUUUUUGACUGAGUCUCACUCUGUCACCCAGGCUGGAGUGCAGCAGUGUGAUCUCGGCUCACUGCAACCUCUGCCCCCAGGGCUCAAGCCAUUCUCCUACCUCAGCCACUCGAGUAGCUGGGAUUACAGGUGCCCACCACCACGCCGGGCUAAUUUUUGUAUUUUUAGUAGAGACAGGGUUUGAACAUGUUGGCCGGGCUGGUCUCAAACUCCUGACCUCAGGUGAUCCGCCCACCUCGGCCUCCCAAAGUACUGGGAUUACAGGCGUGAGCCACCGCGCCCGGCCCCCUUUUCUUUUGUGUUUCCCUUUUUUAAAGCUUUUUAUAAGAUGAAACCCACAUAAAAAAAAAUUAACUGUUUUAGAGCAUGCAGUUCAGUGCAUCUAGUACCUUCGCAAUGUUGUGCAGGCACCACGUGGAGCUCAUCCCCAAACACUUUCACCGCCGCCAGAGGAAAUGCUGUGCCCAGGAAGCAGGCACUCCCCACGCCCUUUCCAGCCCCCAGAACGACUCAUCUGCUUCCUGUCUCUACGGACGUCACGGUCCUGCCUACUUCACAUCCGUCUUCUGUGUCUGUGCCUCCUUUGGAACCCCCAAGAUGUUAUUUGCCUGCUGCAGAUAGACCCACACGGGCGAUGGUGAGCGCAGCCUCCCUAGCCCCAAGGAAACGGCCUAGAAGAGAAACGUUUCCAAGAGAAGCUGCACCCAACAAGCGCAGCUCAGGACUGACGUUUAACCUACCAGAGCUCCCGAGGGGACCACGAAGUGCACGUAUGGCCCUUGCUGAAAGACAAUAAGUGAAGAAAUGAUUCCAGAAUAACGGUAUGGCUGGGAAGAAACAGGUUCAUUCCUAUAUUCAGGUUCAACCCGCAUUGGCUGAGCACAUACUACGGACCAGACAUGGCUGCUUAUCAUCACGCGCACCUUCACUCCUCUAUCCGACCAAAAGUUCAAGUUGGCAGGUACUGUGCCCAUUUUGUUGGAUGGGCAAGCCAAGACCCUGGAUUUGAGAGCUUUGCCCAAGGUCACGGCAGAACGGAGUCUUGCUCUGUCGUCCAAGCUGGAGUGCAGUGGCAUGAUCUUGGCUCACUGCAACCUCCGCUUCCCAGGUUCAAGCAAUUCUCCUGCCUCAGCCUCCUGAGUAGCUGGGAUUACAGGAGCAUGUCACCACACGCGGCUAAUUUUUGUAUUUUUAGUAGAGAUGAGGUUUCACUGUCAGGCCUCUGAGCCCAAGCCAAGCCAUCACAUCCCCUGUGACUUGCACGUAUACAUCCAGAUGGCCUGAAGUAACUGAAGAUCCACAAAAGAAGUAAAAAUAGCCUUAACUGAUGACAUUCCACCAUUGUGAUUUGUUUCUGCCCCACCCUAACUGAUCAAUGUACUUUGUAAUCUCCCCCACCCUUAAGAAGGUACUUUGUAAGAUCCACCCCUGCACGCAAAACGUAACUUCACCGCCUAUCCCCAAACCUAUAAGAACUAAUGAUAAUCCACCACCCUUUGCCGACUCUCUUUUUGGACUCAGCCUGCCUGCAUCCAGGUGAAAUAA